rnacentral:rRNA from 1 species
ACUCCUACGGGAGGCAGCAGUGGGGAAUUUUGGACAAUGGGGGCAACCCUGAUCCAGCCAUGCCGCGUGAGUGAAGAAGGCCUUCGGGUUGUAAAGCUCUUUCGGCCGGGAAGAAAUCGGCGACUCUAACAUAGUCGCUGGAUGACGGUACCGGACUAAGAAGCACCGGCUAACUACGUGCCAGCAGCCGCGGUAAU